GAAGCGUCUGGAAAGGCGCGCGAUACAGGGUGACAGCCCCGUACACAAAAGCGCAUGUGCUGUGAGCUCGAUGAGUAGGGCGGGACACGUGGUAUCCUGUCUGAAUAUGGGGGGACCAUCCUCCAAGGCUAAAUACUCCUGACUGACCGAUAGUGAACCAGUACCGUGAGGGAAAGGCGAAAAGAACCCCGGCGAGGGGAGUGAAAAAGAACCUGAAACCGUGUACGUACAAGCAGUGGGAGCACAGGUUUACCUGUGUGACUGCGUACCUUUUGUAUAAUGGGUCAGCGACUUAUAUUCUGUAGCAAGGUUAACCGAAUAGGGGAGCCGGAGGGAAACCGAGUCUUAAUUGGGCGUUAAGUUGCAGGGUAUAGACCCGAAACCCGGUGAUCUAGCCAUGGGCAGGUUGAAGGUUGGGUAACACUAACUGGAGGACCGAACCGACUAAUGUUGAAAAAUUAGCGGAUGACCUGUGGCUGGGGGUGAAAGGCCAAUCAAACCGGGAGAUAGCUGGUUCUCCCCGAAAGCUAUUUAGGUAGCGCCUCGUGAAUUCAUCUCCGGGGGUAGAGCACUGUUUCGGCUAGGGGGCCAUCCCGGCUUACCAACCCGAUGCAAACUGCGAAUACCGGAGAAUGUUAUCACGGGAGACACACGGCGGGUGCUAACGUCCGUCGUGAAGAGGGAAACAACCCAGACCGCCAGCUAAGGUCCCAAAGUCAUGGUUAAGUGGGAAACGAUGUGGGAAGGCCCAGACAGCCAGGAUGUUGGCUUAGAAGCAGCCAUCAUUUAAAGAAAGCGUAAUAGCUCACUGGUCGAGUCGGCCUGCGCGGAAGAUGUAACGGGGCUAAACCAUGCACCGAAGCUGCGGCAGCGACGCUUAUGCGUUGUUGGGUAGGGGAGCGUUCUGUAAGCCUGUGAAGGUGGCCUGUGAGGGUUGCUGGAGGUAUCAGAAGUGCGAAUGCUGACAUAAGUAACGAUAAAGCGGGUGAAAAGCCCGCUCGCCGGAAGACCAAGGGUUCCUGUCCAACGUUAAUCGGGGCAGGGUGAGUCGACCCCUAAGGCGAGGCCGAAAGGCGUAGUCGAUGGGAAACGGGUUAAUAUUCCCGUACUUGGUGUUACUGCGAAGGGGGGACGGAGAAGGCUAUGUUGGCCGGGCGACGGUUGUCCCGGUUUAAGCGUGUAGGUGUGUGUUCCAGGUAAAUCCG
rnacentral:rRNA from 1 species